CUUUUUUAUCCUCUUAACCACUCCUUUGAAUAAUACAAAUUUAUUACAAUAACCAAUUUUCCUUGAUGCUUUUAAAGAAAUCUCAAGCGUGAGCACUUUACCCAGUGGGCUUCUUUGCCAGUGGGCACCAAUUAAGCUCUUGUGGAAUGGCAAGCAAGAAGAAACUAUAGGAAAGAUUCACCUCAGGAACAUCACAAAAUGGGCAACCAGGGAACAGUGAUUUCAAGAGCACAUUAAAGUGUAAACGGCCUUGGUGGAAUUCUGACUAACGACAUUUAUAAAUGAGCUUGUAUUCAGCUUUGCAGAUUCUAAGACAAAGUGAUCUUACUUGGACCAAAGACAACAUUUCAGCUAAUUAAAGAAAAUUAGGUAAGCAAACUAAUUGGGUGAGAUUUGUUAUUUAAUCAGUUGUGGGGUACUCAGCAGGUGAUGUGUACUGGCAGGGAGAAUGAGGAAGAUGGAUUAUGCUAAUGAAUUAAGAUGUUAAUUUACAACCCUAAUGAAAAAAAAUAAAUGUUAUUCUCUCAUUCAGAAUGCUAAAGCAAAAU
rnacentral:lncRNA from 1 species